UCAGACUUUCGGGCUUCAGACUUUCCAAUCUUCAUGCACUAAAUAUUAUUUUUGUUACUUAGUUCUUUCUUUUUUUUUUCGGGUUUCAGAUUUCCUACGGAUUCCGUACUAAGAAAUCGCUGGAGAGAAGUCAUACAGCAGACACGAAAUGAAGAUCACUGGAAACCUCACAAAACUUCAGUUGUGUGUUCCGAACACUUUUCUGAUGAUAAAUUUUAUGAAACAAAAAAGAGAUUACGACGGCUGAAGAAUGGAUCGGUACCAAACAAGUGUUUGUUUUUGUCAGCGACUGAAACAGAAUCCUCAACAAAUGAAAAACAUAGCCUAUCCAGUUCUAAGGGGGUCGAUAUUCAUAUAA